rnacentral:snRNA from 1 species
AUCGCUUCUCGGCCUUUUGGCUAAGAUCAAGUGUAAAUCUAGAAUUGAAGCAUUUAUUAAUGUUUUAAUUCAUACUUAGUAAACAUCCAUUGAUCUUAGUCAUUGAUUGUCAUCUCCUCAGUGUGUGUUAAAGUAAGU